rnacentral:lncRNA from 1 species
GGGAAGCCUGUUCCCGUAGAGCAGAGGACAGACAGUUCCCGGAGACCCUCUUAGCUUGAUGACAGGGUCUCUCGGAGCCUAGGCUGGCUUCUAGCUUGCUAUGCAGCUGAGAAUGUCCUUGAAUACUGAUCUUCCUGCCUUCAUCUUCCAACUCCUGUGAUCUUAAGCCUGGGCUAUAAACCAAGCUUCAUGGCCGCCACUCUGAAAACGCCACACGAUGCACAAGUGUGACAGAUCAGCCAGUAAAGGAACCUGCUGCCAAGCUGACCCAUGUGACUUCCAUCCCUGAGACCCACAUUGUGGAAGGAGAAAACAACUUUCACAAGUUGUCCUCUGACCACCGCAUACACACCAUGGCGUGUGCACAGGUAGAGUGCACUCGGCCCACAUAUGUGAAAACCGAGACUCCGCAGGCUCCCUCCUGGAGACCUAGCUCUCAGUUUGCCUUCUGCCCUAUGGUUUGUGGGUGGAGCUAAUGGAAAAGACACCUGGGAAGUGGACAGAAAGAAGACGUCACUGCCAGAAUACAAGACACCUUGGCCAGGAUAAAUACAGACAGACUUAGGUCCCUGCCACCCCUUGGGAGAUCGUUCAGGACACCCCGUUUGAAGCCCUAAAUUCUGACAUGUUGGAUUGGUUACAAGGCCGCCUCUUCCGAGAGGCAGAAGUGAGUUUCACUCCCACCCACGCUCAGGAUGUUAAGACAUUUGCAGAAUGAUUUGUUCUGGACCAGGGGAGAACACUCAUGUGAAAGCAUGCCAUGUCUCUUCCUCCAGGUGUGUGCCAUGGGGCUAGGGUCAUGGGGGCAGUG